UCUCAUCAUUUCUCAAAACUCUAAGUUUCAAUUUUAUUUUCUGAAAGAUGUGCUGUGCUCCCCCUGAGAAAAGCCAUGUAUUUUACUGAAUAUUCACAACUCCAGAACACCACCUGCUGCCCACGCAUGCUCUGAUUUGGGGAAAAUUGCCUUGAAAACUGCAAGAGAGUAAAGGCCCUCGCUGCCCAGUCUCUUUCUGCAUCUCUGAGAGGUGACGAGUAGCUCCUGAGAAAUCCCUGUGCCACCUGCACUGAGAAAAUCCCCAGUGGGAGAAUAUACUGAGCACCUGCUCAGGCCCAGGCCCUUCCAUCUGAAUGUGGGAUCUGGUCCGAAGAAGGAUUGGAGCCCCGUUAGACGCUGGCUGAGGAAACAGCCACUUGUCCUGUGAAACUUGAGCAGGAAGGCCUGGCUCCCCUCACCCACCCGGGAGCUCUCCACAACUAACCUCUCCGGGAAGGAACCGUUUCUCGGGCGCCAGUAGAUGAGGAAAUUCUCUGAUCUCAUACUUCCCGUGGGUCUCCCUGCCGCGUCUCACCCUGCGGAUGUGCACCAGCGGGAGGUGGGCUGGGCCGAGGCCAUGUGGGGCUAUGGCCUCCAGAGCUGUCACCGUCCUCUGUCCUGGUGAGUCCGACAUGCAGGCGG